GUCAAGCACGCAACGUGUUACAAACUAUAUUGGCUGUCUGUUUCGCCCAUGUUGCCUGUUUGGAAUUCGUCCUCCUAAUGGAAUUGGAUGCCACCUCUACUGAUGGUAUUUGUUGUACAAUCACCCAAACAACUUUCCCACUUUGUGGACCGAACUACCUAUCUGAUCUCUUCUGGUUGAUUGUAAUAAGGCACUGCAAUGCAUAUUCAACUUUACUUAAGCCCAUAUAGCCUAGUAGCAAUUUACUCAUUGGAUGGUGUCUUCUCAUUUUAGCUGGAAAAUGGGUGCAAUAAUACCGUCUCCAUUUCUCUUCAUUCUUCUUGUCAUUCUUAUUAUUCCUUGGGUUGUUGAGUCGGUCCAUUCUUUGCAUCCCCACAAAAACAAUGCUUCAGAUGAGCAGGCUCUUUUGGCAUUCAGGACUGCAAUCAAAUAUGAUCAAGAAAAUUCAUUCGUGACAUGGGCACCCAACAUCUCAUUCUGCAAGUGGAAAGGCGUUACAUGCUCUGUCCGCAGACAGAGAGUAUCCUCUCUGAGUCUUACUGGCGUGGGUUUGGUAGGUACCAUCUCCCCUUUCCUCGGCAAUCUUUCAUUUCUUAGUAUUCUUGACCUUUCUAAUAAUAACCUUGACGGCCACGUCCCCAAUCAAUUGCAUAGCCUUUCUCGCUUAAGGUAUCUUCAUUUACAUAAAAACCGCCUGGAAGGUUCAAUUCCCCCUACCCUUAGUGCCUGCCACAACUUAAUGGACCUUAAUAUCUGGGAUAACCAUCUGACUGGAAAUAUUCCACCCGACUUUGGGUUUCUCUUCAAUUUAAACUCCAUCCAGCUUAGCCGAAACAACUUGACGGGAAUCAUUCCCAACUCCUUGGGCAACAUAUCCUCUUUGAACUAUUUAGAUUUGAGCGAAAAUAAGCUUGAGGGCCAUAUUCCUCAGGAAAUGGGUAGGCUUUCCCUACUGAAUCUGGUGGAUUUGGGCGGGAACCGCCUUACUGGAGAAAUUCCUUCUUCCUUGUCAAACUGCACUAAUCUAGAGGCAUUGGCUCUAACAGACAAUCACUUAUCUGGAGAGAUACCAGGGGAGUUUUGCUCCAAGAAUACCCUUCUGAAACAAUUAUAUUUAGCUGGUAACAGACUUAGUGGUGAAAUUCCUGCUACACUAUUAAUUGUUCACAAUUCCAAAUACUCAGCUUGGAGAACAACCAGCUGAGUGGAACGGUGCCCUUUGAGCUGGGAAAGUUGCGUAAACUCACUCUCCUUUCCUUGUGGGCUAAUCAGUUUGUCAGCGGCAGCAAUACAAACUUGCCCUUUCUCACUUCUCUUACUAAUUGUUCUGUUCUCCGAGUCCUGCAAUUGAGUAAGAAUAAUCUGGCAGGAACCCUACCUUCUUCUGUAGGACAACUUUCUACAAAACUUGAAAUAUUAUACUUCGAUUUCAACAAUAUAGAAGGAAAAAUCCCCCCCCAGAUUGGAAACCUCACUAAUUUAUCUGUAUUAUCAUUGCAUCAGAAUCUUUUAACAGGUGUUGUUCCUUCCACUGUUGGUAUGCUUCAAAGGCUAGAGAAAUUGCAGUUGAGUAAUAACAAUUUACAAGGAAACAUUCCAAUGGAGAUCAGUCAGCUAAAAAGCCUAGGGUUUCUAGCUUUUUAUGAAAAUAAAUUUGAGGGAAACAUUCCUGCGUCUCUUGACCACCUCCAGCAGAUGAGAUACCUAUAUCUUGAUCACAACCAGUUAACAGGCACUAUUCCUUUAAGUCUAGGCAAAUGAACCAGGUUGGAAGACCUUGACCUUUCAGACAAUAGGCUCCGUGGACAUGUGCCUCCUCAAGUGGCGGGGCUGCAAAAUAUCGCUUUCUAUUGGGACCUCUCAAAUAAUUUAUUGGAAGGCCCUUUGCCUUUAGAACUCGGCGAGAUGGAGAAGGUUCAAGGUAUAGAUAUUUCGGCAAAUCAAUUAACAGGUAAUAUUCCAAGUACAAUAGGGAGCUGUAUAGCGAUUCAAUAUUUGAAUCUCUCCUUUAAUAAAAUCAAUGGUUCAAUUCCAGAAUCCCUUGGAAAACUUCUAAAUCUCCAAGAUAUAGAUCUCUCUUUCAACAAUUUGUUAGGGAAAAUACCAAUGUCUUUGGGUAAACUUGGAGCGCUUCAACAUCUGAAUUUUUCUACAAACAAGUUGGAAGGAGAAGUCCCAAAAGAUGGUGUUUUCAAAAAGCAUGGUGCAAUAUCAUUGAUUGGAAAUGUUGGCCUUUGCGGACCUUGGGUAAAGUUGCCAGUGUGCCCUACUCCCAAACCCCAAGCUCAAAGUCAAAGGCAUCUCAAAAGGAUACUUAUACCUAUUGGGGCCGCAGUAUUUGUUACAUGGUGUGUAUUGAUGGGAUUCUUAUGGAGAUGCUAUUGCAAGAGACGCCCAUUGAUCUCACAACUCUUUGAAUUGGGCCCUCAGAGAAUUUCAUUUCCAGAUCUUCUUACCGCAAGCGAUGGGUUUAAUGAGGCCAACUUGAUAGGAGUUGGUAGUUCUGGAAAAGUGUAUAAAGGAGUUUUGAAGGAUGGGGCAAUGGUUGCUAUCAAAGUUUUUGACCUGCAGGAUGAAGAUGCACUUAAGAUUUUUGAUAGAGAGUGCGAAGUUUUGAGAAGAGUUCGGCAUAGAAACCUGGUCAGAGUCAUAACCUCUUAUUCAGAUCCAGACUGCAAAGCACUAAUAUUUCCUCUAAUGCCAAAUGGGAACCUAGAUAACCUUUUAUAUCCUCCAAGUGAACACAGUUCUCAAGGACAAUUGUGUAGCUUGGAUUUUAUUCUUAGAUUGAGAAUAUUGAUGGACAUUGCACAAGGAAUGGAAUACCUCCAUCACCAUUGUUUUGUGCAAGUCAUCCAUUGUGAUUUAAAGCCCAGUAAUGUCCUUCUUGGUGAGGAUAUGACAGCUUAUUUAACAGACUUUGGUAUUUCGAGAUUGUAUCCUAGAAACUAUGGGGAUUCACUCACUUCAACAGGUACACUAAAAGGAUCCAUUGGAUACAUUGCCCCAGAAUAUGGAACGAGCGGAGUUGUUACUACAAAAGGAGAUGUCUACAGCUAUGGAAUAGUGUUACUGGAGAUGCUGACAGGAAAGAAGCCAACAAAUAGCAUGUUUGUAGAAGGAAUGAUCUUGCCAAAUUGGGUGAGUAGAAGUUUUCCAGACACAAUAGAAGAAGUCAUUGAUAGCCAUUUGCUGAGUGCUGCUGUGAACAGUGAGGAAGGGAAGGUACUCAACUGUCUCAGACAGCUCAUAUGUAUCGGUUUGCUUUGCACAAAAGAUUUCCCUGAAGAACGACCGAGUAUGAUUGACAUUGUCAGAAUACUGGGAAAUAUCAGAGAUACUUUUCUUGGAAUUGCUUCAACUCCAACACUCCAGUCAGAUUUCUCGCAUCUUCUUGGUAGCACAAGUGGUCCUCACAAAAGUGAUGAAAGCCAAAGUUCCUCAUACUGAAAUAGAAAAGCCUCAAAUAUUGUAUCAUCUUCACUUAUUUCACACAUCUGGAUGAUGUUUGUGUGUUGGGCAUGGUUGACAUCUCUGAGGAAGUUGUUCGUGAGGUUUCUGCUCUGUUAAGGUGUAACAAGAUUAUGAUUCUCCUCCGGUGAAAUUCAGACUCAUGCUGUCAAGUUUGUUCUCCCUGGAGGACUGACAAAGCAUGCUGUUUCAGAAGGAAAUAAGGGAAAAUAAUUGGAAGGAUUUGAAGUGGUUCGAGGCCAAUAGAGCUCCUUUAACGCCCGUAAGCUUCUUGGAAAGAGCAGGCAGUGUGUACAGGGAUGGAGCUUCCAUUAUCCAUGGCUCUGCUCGCUUCACUUGGGCCCAAACGCUUGACCGGUGCAUCAGGCUUGCUUCCGCCCUUACCUCUCUCCAUGUCAAGCCCGGAGACGUUGUAAGAUUAUCCACUGAAAAUUUAAUACAUUGUCUUUAUUUGUAUCUAGAAAUAGUAAUUUUUAACCGGCCGAAUCGUCAUUUUCAUAAACUUAAGUGCUAGUAGGGAUUGAAGUCUCCGAGGAAAUAGGAC